GAUGAACGCUGGCGGCGUGCCUAAUACAUGCAAGUCGAGCGAACAGACGAGGAGCUUGCUCCUCUGACGUUAGCGGCGGACGGGUGAGUAACACGUGGAUAACCUACCUAUAAGACUGGGAUAACUUCGGGAAACCGGAGCUAAUACCGGAUAAUAUAUUGAACCGCAUGGUUCAAUAGUGAAAGACGGUUUUGCUGUCACUUAUAGAUGGAUCCGCGCCGCAUUAGCUAGUUGGUAAGGUAACGGCUUACCAAGGCAAUGAUGCGUAGCCGACCUGAGAGGGUGAUCGGCCACACUGGAACUGAGACACGGUCCAGACUCCUACGGGAGGCAGCAGUAGGGAAUCUUCCGCAAUGGGCGAAAGCCUGACGGAGCAACGCCGCGUGAGUGAUGAAGGUCUUCGGAUCGUAAAACUCUGUUAUUAGGGAAGAGCAAAUGUGUAAGUAACUAUGCACGUCUUGACGGUACCUAAUCAGAAAGCCACGGCUAACUACGUG
rnacentral:rRNA from 1 species